UCGGUUACCUGGACUGAGGUCAGCGCGGUGGAGUUGCAGAACCUGCGGGUGCAGAGGAGCUGUGGAGCUGAUCCAAAGAGCGGGGAGCAUGAGGACCUGGAGUCUCUGUCAGAUUUGUACCUGCGGGUCAGAUUCUCAUCCUUAUGAAAUAGUCAAAGAGGCUUGCCAUGCACCAGAACAAUAUAAACCAAAGCAGGGGGAGAUUGAUCUUGGUACUGCCUAUAAACGGCCUCUUAAUUCUUGUAAAGUGCAGCGUGUGGCAAUAGCUCGGCCUUUGGAGAGACAAGUUAAAAAAGGGAAGUUGGCUACUGUCCCAACCUAUAAAGAUUUCAAGACAUCUGCAUAGUGUACCCUGAGUCAAGUUUUGGUUGGCAGUGUCAAGAUGGCUGCACUGCUCCUCGCUGUGUUUAAGUUAGAAAGAGGCAUUGUGGUAUGACAAGUAAAGGCUCUGUGGCUUGGGAAUCAAAGCUCCUGUGCUCAAGUUCCAAUGACACCGGUUUCUACUUGUGCCAUCCUAGGAGAAUUACCUACUCAUCACUCACUUUCUGUCCUGUAGCAAAGAUUGUAAAAUAACCUAAUCUGCUUCGAGCUUACGAGUAGUAUGAUUUCUGAGAUGAGACUUGCCCUCUAAAGCUUCACAAGCACCCUAGAAGUUGUUACAGAGAAUGGAGAGCUUGGAUGGGGGGAAUAAUGUGGUUCGAAUGACAGUACUUCCAAAAAGGGAAAAGCACUUGCGAGAGUACUUUAAGGAAUGACUGACAGCUCUGAAGAAAAUUUUCACGGUUACCUCAGGGGUAUGUGUUAGCAGCUCUGAAACUACGUGUAUAAUAAGGUCAAACCAAGAAAAUAUAUUGCAGAUAAUGAAAGCCAGGCUUCUCCCUGUCAGAGAAAGAAGUUGACAAACAAGAAAAAGGUAUGGACUAUAAUAAUGACCCUAUGUGCUGGAAUGGCAUUCAAGGUUUCAGUAUGAACGCAUAGAUACAGGGAAAAAAAAAAUUGUGUGUGUGCGCGC